UAGGGAAUCUUCCGCAAUGGACGAAAGUCUGACGGAGCAACGCCGCGUGAGUGAAGAAUGAUUUCGGUUCGUAAAACUCUGUUGUUAGGGAAGAAAAAAUGUAUAGUAACUAUAUACAAAAGAGACGGUACCUAACCAGAAAGCCACGGCUAACUACGUGCCAGCAGCCGCGGUAAUACGUAGGUGGCAAGCGUUGUCCGGAAUUAUUUGGCGUAAAGCGCGCGCAGGUGGUUUAGAAAGUCUGAUGUGAAAGCCCACGGCUCAACCGUGGAGGGUCAUUGGAAACUAAUAAACUUGAGUGCAGGAGAGAAAAGUGGAAUUCCUAGUGUAGCGGUGAAAUGCGUAGAGAUUAGGAGGAACACCGGUGGCGAAAGCGGCUUUUUGGCCUGCAACUGACACUGAGGCGCGAAAGAGUGGGGAGCAAACAGG
rnacentral:rRNA from 1 species